GCUUAGCCAUAAACAUAAAAGUUCACAUAACAAGAACUUUCGCCCGAGAACUACUAGCAACAGCUUAAAACUCAAAGGACUUGGCGGUGCUUUAUAUCCACCUAGAGGAGCCUGUUCUAUAAUCGAUAAACCCCGAUACACCUCACCACUUCUUGCUAAUUCAGCCUAUAUACCGCCAUCUUCAGCAAACCCAAUCAUGGCAACAAAGUAAGCACAAACAUAUUACAUAAAAACGUUAGGUCAAGGUGUAGCUAAUGAAGUGGGAAGAAAUGGGCUACAUUUUCUUACCAAAGAACAUAAACGUAAAUCUUUAUGAAACCUAAAGAUAGAAGGAGGAUUUAGUAGUAAAUUAAGAAUAGAGAGCUUAAUUGAACUAGGCAAUGAAGCACGU
rnacentral:rRNA from 1 species